rnacentral:misc_RNA from 1 species
CGCCAAGCGAGCCCCGUGG